CCGCCAGAAAAUUACNAGUGAAAAACUUAAAACUCAAAGGACUUGGCGGUGCCCAAACCAACUUAGAGGAGCCUGUCCUGUAAUCGAUACUCCACGAUAAACCUCACCAAUUUUAGCCUCUUCAGCCUAUAUACCGCCGUCGCCAACUUACUCCAUGAGGAAAUAACAGUAAGUAAAAAAGUACAACACAAGAACGUCAGGUCAAGGUGUAGCUAAUAAAUUGG
rnacentral:rRNA from 1 species